ACCUCCACAUAAAACCAGAUACACUGAAAGUAAUAGAAAAUAAAGUGGGGAAGAGCCUCAAACACAUAGGCACAAGGGAAAUUUUCCAGAACAGAACACCAAUGGCAUAUGCUCUAAGAUCAACAAUAGACAAAUGGGACUUCAUACAAUUGCAGAGCUUCUGUAAAGCAAAUGACAAAACAGCAAACAACAGAUUGGGAAAAAAAUCUUUACCAACUGUAAUAUCUAAUAUAUACAAAGAACUUAGGAAGUUAGACCUCAGAGAACUAAAUAUUCCUAUAAAAAAUGGGAUGCAGAGCUAAACAGAAAAUUCUCAACUGAGGAAUAUUAGGUGGCUGCAAAGCACAUCAACAUCCUUAGUCAUUAGGGAGAUGCAAAUCAAAACAACCAGGAAAUUCUAAUUCACACCAGUCAGAAUGGCUAAGAUAAAAACAAAACAACACAAAACAGAACAAAAAAAAAACCCA
rnacentral:lncRNA from 1 species